rnacentral:rRNA from 1 species
AGCAGUCGCCACGGUAAUACGUAGGUCCCGAGCGUUGUCCGGAUUUAUUGGGCGUAAAGCGAGCGCAGGCGGUUAGAUAAGUCUGAAGUUAAAGGCUGUGGCUUAACCAUAGUACGCUUUGGAAACUGUUUAACUUGAGUGCAAGAGGGGAGAGUGGAAUUCCAUGUGUGGCGGUGAAAUGCGUAGAUAUAUGGAGGAACACCGGUGGCGAAAGCGGCUCUCUGGCUUGUAACUGACGCUGAGGCUCGAAAGCGUGGGGAGCAAACAGGAUUAGAUACCCCUGUAGUCCCUGUCUCUUAUACA